GGCCCCGUAGCGCAGUUGGUUAGCGCGUCGGCCUGUCACGCCGAAGGUCGCGAGUUCAAGUCUCGUCGGGGUCG
rnacentral:tRNA from 1 species